rnacentral:rRNA from 1 species
AACCUGGUUGAUCCUGCCAGUAGUCAUAUGUUUGUCUCAAAGAUUAAGCCAUGCAUGUCUCAGAAUAAGCUUCUUUAUGGCAAAUCUGCGAAUGGCUCAUUAAAACAGUUAUAUUCUACCCGGUGAUGGCUUUUAUACGGAUAACUGUGCUAAUUGUAGAGCUAAUACGUGCAUAAAAACCCGACUUCUUGGAAGGGUUGUACUUAUUAGAUACUGAACCAAUCUCCUCACGGAGUUUUUGGAUGAUUCAUAAUAAACGAACGGAGCGAAUGGCUUGUGCCGUCGCUAGACCGGUCGAGUUUCUGACCUAUCAGCUUUCGAUGGUGGGGUCUUGGCCCACCAUGGCUUUGACGGGUAACGGAGAAUUAGGGUUCGGUUCCGGAGAGGGAGCCCGAGAAACGGCUACCACAUCUAAGGAAGGCAGCAGCCCGCAAAUUACCCCAUCGCGACACGCGGAGGUA